AUAUUUAUCCUAAUAAGGACGUAGGAGAAUGAACAAUGUAGGAAUUGGUGCGUUUUUAGUUGUUUCGGGAUGAUACGAACUCUAGUUUUAGAUCUAUAUUUUGUUGUCUUGCUCAUCUACAAUGGUGUAUUGAAAAUUUCAGGAACAAAGUCAUGUCCAAAAACAGACCUACAUGUAACCAACAUGUGUUCACCAGACAAUUUCUUCUCUAACUUUAUUUACCUGGAUGUCCACAACGCUAGUCUUUACUACCUACAAUCGUGUAUAUGCACGCUGCACGUGCGUUUUCCUGGAACACUUUACUUUAAGACUUUACAAACACCGCCACCAGAUUGUGGAUCUGUAAUGCACGUGACCAGUAGCGAUGGCAACCAAGUACACGUAUUCCACUGUGGAGGGAAUACGUCAUUUCCUGUAAAAACAAAUGAUAUGAUAAACAUAUCAAUUCAUAAUUUAGGAGAACUCAGUUAUGAUACUUCAUACUGUUAUGUUAUAUCACUGGGUCAGUAAAUUUACUUGUUUUGUAUCAAUACUAAGUGAAAACUAAAAUACAUUCCAAUAAUUAGGCAAUUGAUUUGCGCUCUAGGCUGAGGUUAGGUGGUGAAGAAAUUGCCCAUCAUUUACACUUAAAUUUCUAUUUAUGAUUUGUUAAGCUAUAAACUUUUCUUUGAACCACUAUAUUUUAGCUAGUUUUACUAUAUAAUAUCUUUACACAAAGCCUUCUUAAAGAGAUCAAUUAAGUCUUAAAAUGAUCACGACCACCCAGUCCUCUUAUCAAACGGGAGCUUUUUUUUUCUUUCAGCAUCAGACAGCGGGGUUGGUACGAAUGCUUUCCAGAUCACGUGUCCUCAUUUGGAGAGACUCACGACCACAACUACAACCUCUACUGUGACGUCAUCCGCCCCCGCUACCUCCCCCAAACCAAUCUCUACAGCUAAGGUCAUAGCCUCAUUGACCUCAACAAGGCCUUCCAAUAUCGCUCCAACAACUGAAUCUGAAAGUACAAGUGCUGUUUUAGAAGUCAAGGAAUCUGUUGUCACACAGGAUGUACCACUGGAAGUGAUUAUCACGGUCGCCAUACUUGUUCCGGUGGCAUCGAUAGGUAUCGUGUUAGUAUCCAUUUACCUUUGGAGAAGAAAAAUACUUCAGAGACUCUUAAGAAAUUUGAAGAAAGAUCACCGUUUCCGCGAAGAAGCUGUAAUAGACGUAGGUGAUGGGUUAAAAGAGAAUGUCUCUAACCAUAGCAACGAAGAUCUGAGCAAAGAAGACAAGACAAAAAUAUCCGUUGUCAAUGUUCGAAUUGCUAACACGACUCCAACAGCACCACGUGUCGUCACACUUCGGAAGUCCCAUAGCAACAAAAAUAUCAUCGUCCUUUCGUCAGAAAAAUCGAGCAGAAAGGCCAACGGAAGUGACGAAGCUGAUGACGUAGCAUUAGAUGAAAGAAGAAAUCGACUCCGCUGGAAAAGGUCGGAAACCGAUAGUGGAUAUUUUACAGAAAUUCAUUUAGGAAGUGGGUCCAAAACAAUAAUUACAGUUGAAAAUCUUCCAAAAUUGCACAACGAAGAACAAAUAAAAUAUGAUGAUAUCCAAACAGAGCUUUGAAUGAAGUUCACAUCGGUGGAUCCAAAAAGUGCAAAUAUGUUGACUAAAAAUAAUGUUUCUUGGCUAUACAGAGCAGUGCUACUCUAUAAUUUACUCAAAAUCAAUAUUUAACCAAUAUAUGUACUUUUUAGGCGUAAAUAUUAUCAGUAUUAUGCUUAUUCUCUGGUGACAUUGUUCUAAUGAUAUAUCCUUUUUUUUUUUAGGUUGACUGUAUUUUAUUGUUUAUUUCAUUUCAUUAUAAAUUAUUUUAUAUUGAUGUUUACUUAAUAUCAUCAUGAAUCAGUGUAACUAUUUAAUAUUGUAUAUUAUAGUAAAUGGUAUUUUUCAUCAGCAUGAAAGAAAACUGCUUAUUAUACUAUUUUUUAGAGAGUUAUAUACAUUUGUUUUUUUCUACUGUGCCAUGUAUGUAUGUUUUAUUUAUUUGAAAUUUAUAAAAAUAACUUGUUAACCGUUU
rnacentral:misc_RNA from 1 species